rnacentral:pre_miRNA from 1 species
AAUUUUUGUAAAGAACUUCGUGUAUUCGUUUAGUUAUAAUUUGUAAUACACGUUGUUCUUAUUAAAAUUA